UGUCUGGCCCUGGUGGACCCUGCAGCCUAGUACGGCCUGAGGAAGGUCCCCUGGGUCCUUGGUGGAGGAGAGGGUGGUUAAGGUGGGAGCGCUGAGGCUACUUUCAUGGGUAAAGAAGUCGUUUUGCUUUCUUCCGGUUCUGCCCACACUGGUGAGUGGGCCGUCUAGUUCUGGGCUGCUGUUUGUCUGUGGCUGUGUCCUCUCAGUCUGUCUGCUCUCAUCCUAUUUUCUCCCAGCACCCCAGCUGCACAGUUAGUGCCGUCGCCAUUGGUGCUGGACAGGCUGGUGUCUGCCGGGGUUAGAGCUGGUGCAGAGAAGAGUUCAGUGGGGAGCAGUCUGUGUCAGGGAGUGUACCGAGUUUACUGAUGCAUCUCCCUCAGCUACAUCCUUUCCUUUGCCCCAGAUGAACACAACUUUUUUUCUUCUGUGACUUAACACAAGAGUUGUAGGCACUGUGACCUUUGGUGACUCCCUGGGCUUGCCUUUUUCAUAGUGACUAUAUAGCAGGAGAUGGGGGGGGGCAAUUCAACUUCCAAUAUUGUUUUAUUAAGUGCCUGGCACUAAUGAGUCCUCUGUCCUGAAUACCAUUAAUUUUCUAAACAAAAUGUGCUGUGAGCACAGUUAAUCUUUCAAGUUGUAAUCCCAGAGUUGCUUGACCUGACCUGUGUAGCUGUAGGAAACAAAUGGCUAGCUCUUGAUAAAUCGUGGUCUUUUCUGAGCCUAAAGAAGGCUUUUUCUGAGUUAAUUAUGUCCUGGGGAGCAGAGAGUGCCAUCUCCAAGUCAGGCAGGGUGUUCUCCAUGCCUCUGUGACAAGGCUAAUAGUCCGCAGAUUUCAGAAUAAUUGCUCGUGGAUUUGGCUUUGGAGUUAUGCCAGCUUCAGUGUGAGUGCUGGCAUGACUCUUACUCACCGGCAUGGUUCCGAGUGUCACCUGUGCAGCAGGAAUGGCUGAGGAUGGCAGGAGGUGACACAGUCCUUAGCCGUGGCAGUGAUUAACACAUGUAACCACUGCUGUAAGAACGGUGGCCUCGGGAGUCUAGAAAAUGUGAUAUUCAGGACCUAAUCAAUUAGUCAUUGUAAAAAUUGGCCUCUUGCUGCUGGCUGCCGUUCCGUGCGGGGUGACAGUGGUGUGGGGGAGAAAGUAUCACUUUCCUCUGAUCCCACAGGCUGAAACCACUCCCCAACCUAAGGACACCGCCACUGCAGGCACUUCCGAGGGUCUUUGCCCUUUCAUGUCCCUCACUAGUGACCGGGUGCUCACCAAGUCCUGUGGACUUUGCUGCCCUCACUCAUCCGCUGGCUCCAAGCCAGCAUCUCUCAGGUUAGGUCAUUACCCUUGCCACUAGAUUCUGAAAUCGGCUUUUCAAAGAUGCAGGACGGAAGAGGUGGAAUGGAAAAUGUCGGAGGUUCUGUAUGUGGUGAGACUGAUUUAGUUGGUGAGACUCAUAUGUAACAGUGGUUUCACAAACCACAGCUGACAUCGGCUUUGUACCACUCACUUAUCUGUCCCCAGCAACAGCCUGGAGGUGGUGGAACAGUCGCAGGAACUUGAGAAGCUGGCCCAGGGUCACAGGAGUCACAAGGUCACCCUGACGGGAAGUCAGCUGACUGUCGCCAUCACUGAAGCAGCAGCUCCUGAGUGUGAAGAAAAGAGGUCCCUGCCUGGACAGAGGAUUGCGGCCCUCCCUCGAGACCUCUCUGGACGUAUCUUCCCAGCAUCCUC